UUUAUCUGCUAGGGGUGUCCAUUAGGACUGAGAAUAAACCCUUUGAACCUGAUCCAGAUCAUGCUGGCGCAGGAAAGCAUGUUUAUACUUGU
rnacentral:ncRNA from 2 species